GCCGGGCGCAGUGGUGCAUGCCUGUAGUCCCAGCUACUUGGGAGGCUGAGGUGGAAAGAUUGCUUGAGCCCAGGAGUUCUGGGGUAUAGUGUGCUAUGCCAAUCAGGUGUCCGCACUAAGUUCGGCAUCAAUAUGGUGAUGUCCCGGGAGCAGGGGACCACCAGGUUGCCUAAGGAGGGGUGAACCGGCCCAGGUCGGAAAUGGAGCAGGUCAAAACUCCUAUGCUGAUCAGUAGUGGGAUCGCGCCUGUGAAUAGCCACUGCACUCCAGCCUGGGCAACAUAGUGAGACCCCAUCUCUU
ensembl:misc_RNA Metazoa_SRP Metazoan signal recognition particle RNA